rnacentral:rRNA from 1 species
GUUUUCGGGUGGGCCCGUCGCGGAGCAAUCUGUGUAUGUGUGUUCAUUCCGUCGUGCCAUCUUUUCCAGAAUCACUCAGUGGGUUGCCGCAAGGUUGCCUGUUGUCGUGUCUGGAUCUUUUACUUUGAAAAAAUUAGAGUGUUUAAAGCAGGCUUACGCUAUUGAAUACAUUAGCAUGGAAUAAUAAUUUAGGACUUAUCGUCCUUUUGUUGGUUUUCCAGGAUGAAAGUAAUGAUUGAUAGGGAUAGUUGGGGGUGCUAGUAUUUCGUCAACAGAGGUGAAAUUCUUGGACCGACGAAAGACUAACUUAUGCGAAAGCAUU